UACGAAGGGGGCUAGCGUUGUUCGGAAUCACUGGGCGUAAAGCGUACGUAGGCGGAUUGUUAAGUCAGGGGUGAAAUCCUGGAGCUCAACUCCAGAACUGCCUUUGAUACUGGCGAUCCUGAGUCCGGGAGAGGCGAGUGGAACUGCGAGUGUAGAGGUGAAAUUCGUAGAUAUUCGCAAGAACACCAGUGGCGAAGGCGGCUCACUGGCCCGGUACUGACGCUGAGGUGCGAAAGCGUGGGGAGCAAACAGG
rnacentral:rRNA from 1 species